rnacentral:lncRNA from 10 species
GUUCCUGUUGUUUGUCUUCUGCUCGGGGGCCUGGGUUAUGUUUGGUGCAAAUAGGACAGUGCACCCCCUCACUUCCAUCUGAUGAUUGGCGUAUUGUUUAGAGACGAUGAGGGGUAAUCUUGUGCUCUGGAGGAAGUUGGCAAGAAAGUUUAAUUCUAUAAAAAGAAACGCGCGGUCAGGAUUCGGUUUCCUAUUCUGAGUCAAGGCAGAGAAGAGAGUCAGAAAUUCCAACCCAGAGGGUCAGGACGGGCUCCAGGACCUCUUGAAUCACAUCUGAAACAUGUUCCCCCUGCUCCUUUCUCCUCCCUGUUCUUACAACUGGCCAACUGGGAUUAUACAACUUGCACUAAUUUUAUCCCACAUGCGGCUGUUUCUUAUUAGGAGCCUGUACCUUUUUUUUUUUUUUCCCCUGUGCCGUGUCAUCUCUCUUCAAUCAGAAACUGCAAAACCGCACCCCGAAACCCCUCUGUGGAGGGUGAAAUGCAACAGUGGCACACGCACGAUUCAAUCACGUCUGGAGGAAAACUGCUAUGCAAUUCCUAUUCCGUCUUUGCAACUCCAGGCCUCCCCGAGCCAGAGGGAGAAGCGGGACUCCUUCGUCGGCCUCCAGUCCCUCUCUCCCCCAUGCCCUGUUUGGCUUAGCACAAGCCUGAGCGUGCCAUGCCACCUCGCCAGACCUUGCCAAAAUCCGUGAAUGGCACAGAACGCACAUUAAACAGAUGGAAUGCAACAUACAUGUAAAGAAAUAAGAGCUUUGCCAGGAAAGUUGGCAGCGGCUCCAGAAUGCUUUAAACAGUGUGGGGAGGGGGGGUAGGGAGAGGGAGCCCAGAGUCGGCGAGGCUGCCUCCUUCUCCAGAGCUGUUUCUUUUACAGCCAUGACCUGUUUUGCCAGUCAAGAUAAAUACCGUUUUAAAUGCCCCCUUUUACUGGCUCCUGGUACCUUGGCAAUGCAGUCUGAAAUAUGACCUGCUCUCAUUGGAAAAAUGUCCUUUUAAGUGAGUGGAAAGGAGGUACUCCUUCUAACCAGUCAGUAGGAAGGUUGUGGAUGGCGGAGCGCUCUGAACACAGACACACUCGGGAAGUAGAUGGAACCGCCAUGGAGUCAGUACUGCUCGUUUAUAAGCCACUGCCUUUAGAAAGUUCGUCGUAGACACAGAGUCACGACUGGGGAGCGCGGAGCUCAAUGUCUAGGCUUUUCUGGCACCUUUGGCUUCAGCAGGAACAGUGAAAGGGCAGCCCAGGACGGCUGGCUAUUUCACAAGGCACCUCGGAACAGCCACGCCUUUCCUUCAGAAGAAGAAAAAGAACGGUGCUAACCAGGUGCGGCCACAGUUCAACCCACUCAGGCCAUUUAGCUUUGCCAGUCCCCACAGUCACAGGACGGUCGGUAAACACGGCAGCCGCUUGCCGCACGCGUGAGAAACUAGAUGGAUCUACCCGAAAGGUUUGCCAUCACAGCAGACGUUCAUGAAACAAUUUCUGCAUGCCAGGUACAUACCAGGCAUAGCUAAUGAAUCAUCCCCCUAUCUCCCGAGGUAGGCAAAGCACUACCCCUGUUUCCCAUACGAAGAACCUGAGGCUCAGAGAGGUUGAGUAACUUGUCCAAGAUUUCACAGCUAUUCAAGGGGAAGCUGGAAUUUGAACACAAGUCUGUCUAGUUGGCUGGGUGCAGUGGCUCACGCCUAUAAUCCCAGCACUUUGGGAGGCCAAGGCAGGCGGAUCACUUGAGGUCAGGAGUUCGAGACCAGCCUGGCCAACAUGGUAAAACCUCAUCUCUACUAAAAAUACAAAAACCAGCUGGGUGUGGUGGAGUGCGUCUGUAAUCCCAGCUACUUGGGAGGCUGAGAAGGAGAAUCGCUUGAAUCUGGGAGGCAGGGGUUGCAGUGAGCCAAGGUCGAGCCACUGCACUUCAGCCUGAGCAAGAGAGUGAGAUUGUGUCCAGAAAAAAAAAAAAAAAAAAGUCUGUCUACUCUAAAUGAUUAGAUUGUCAGGGCCCCAUGCUGGCUUCUACCAAAAUGCUCAAGGCACACAUGUUACAGAAUCAUCUUCUUCAUCCUUAGAACUGCCCAGUAUAAUCAAGUGGUUGCAUUCUCCAUUAAAGAUGCUAUAGGAUGUAUCAGUUUCCUGGGGCUUCUGUCACAAAUUAUCACAAACUAGGUGACUUAAAACAACAGACAUUUAUUCUCUCACAGCUCUGGAGUCCAGAAGUCUAAAAUCAAGGCAUCAGCAUGGCCGUUCUCCCUCCAAAGGGUCUAGAAGAAGCCUUCCUUGCCUCUUCCAGCUUUGGUGGUUGCUGGCUUCUUUGAUUUGUGGCUGCAUGUCUCUCAACUUUGCCUCCAUGGCCUUCGCCUUUGUGCGUGUCUUCCCCCCUUAUAGUCUCUUAUAAAGGCAUCUCUAUUGGAUUUAAGGCUGAUCUUAAUCCAAGAUGGUCUCAUCUCAAGCUCCUUAAUUAAUCAUACCUGUAAAUAUCGUUUUCCUUUCCUUUCCUUUUGUUUUAGAGAUGGGGUCUUACUCUGUCACCGGGGCUGGAGUGCAGUGGUGCCAUCAAGGCUCACUGCAGCCUAAACCUCCCAGGAUCAAGCUAUCCUCCUGCUUCAGCCUCCUGAGUAGCCAGGACCACAGGCAUGCACCACCAUGCCCAGCUAACCUUUUUAUUUUUUGUAGGGAUGGGUUCUUCUUAUGUUCCCCAGGCUGGUCUCAAACUCCUGGCCUCAAGCAGUCCUCCUGCCUCAGUCUCCCAAAGUGCUGAGAUUACAGGUGUGAGCCACCAGGCUUGGCCUCUUUUUUCUGAAUAAAGUCACAUCCCCAGGUUCUAGGAAUUUGAACCUGAAUCUUUUGGGAGGCCAUUUUUCAGUCUACCGUGCAGAAAGAUGCCAGUGGCACAUGAGGUGAUUCAUUCAAUAAGAGUCUUUCCAAUUUUGCAGAUCUGCAGGGAUCAUUAUAGAAUUAAAAAAAUAUUUCCACCAUUCCAUAUCCUUUUUUGAAACCAGUGAGUAUCAAACCAAUAUUUAAGAAACUCUCACCAAAUCCUGCCACUUAGUAAGUGUCACAUAGUCCUCACAGGUACCCUGCAACAGAGAUACUGUUCUUCCUCACUGGACAGGGGAAGAAAAUAAAACUAAGAGAGGAAGAGAGGUUAAGAGCCUUGCCUAAGAUCUCACAGCCAGGAAUGGGUAAAUGUGGGAUUGAACUUUCAGUCUUUCAGGCUCUGGAGUCUUGAGUUUUUAUGCAGGAUGCUAAAAUGCCUUUUCUUGGAAAUGUAGGACUUGGUUAAGAAGCUGAGGUUUGGAAGGAAGUGGAGGUCUGGGGUGAUGGGACAAUUUAUGCUAUGUUUAGCCAAGAAUUAUUCCUGCACAGAAUUUCCAGAAAGGCUGAAAGCAGGCUUUUGAUUGGGAAGGUAAUCCACAAGUUGGUUCACCUGAUCACCUGAUGAAGCUGAGGAUCACUCCCCUCAGCACUCGUUGUCUCUCUCUCUCUCUGUCUCCCUCUCCCUCUUUCUCUCUCUCUCUCAUGGCUGAAACUGGUACCUUCCAGCAGAGACACCAGGAAGUUGGAGGCAAAUGAGAAAAUAUCCAUUUUCACUGUCUCACAGAUUUCAGUUCAGUAACAUCUGCCAGUCAUAUAUUCUUAUCACAGGGAUAUUUCAUUUUUGCUGUGCAAUCAUCUGACUCAAGAGACUGGGUAGAUGGAAGGUAAAACCAAAGAUGCUUACUUGAGGAUGGCUGCAAAUGGCAGGUGACUUCUCCUGGCAUCUGGCGACCACAUCCACCGAUUCAGGCUGCAUGGUGAACAAGAUACAAUUUCUCUUACAGUCAGAGCUGCUGAGGGCUAAGUGCUUAGAGCUCCUCAGCAACCCUGUGAAGUCAGAUCAAUAAUGACCUGAUCUGGUACUCAGGGAGGCCAAGUCACACACCCAGAACUGACGAACGGCAAGCGCUAGAAUCCCUCCAGGUUGCCUGAGUUCGGAGUCUGAGAUCUUAGUUGCUGCAAUACACUCUCUCCAAGCCCAUGUCUCAAGAAUUGCCACUGUUUCAAUUAAAGUAAAUAUAGAUAAAGCAAAGAAGAAAUUCACUGAUUCAUCCAUUCAUUCAUCCAUUUCUAUAGUAUCUGCGCUACGUGCCAGGAAGGCCAACAGGAAAAUCCCUUCAUCCAUGUGUGUGCCCCUGAGUGUGUGUGUGCCAGGCACCUUGCCCUACUCAUAGUCCCUACCUUCCAGAGAUUAAGACUGGAAUGUAUAUCAAUUAAUCCAGGACAGUAUGGCAAAUGCAAGAGAGACCAAGGAAGAGACGGAGCCGCCAAGGAUUCCUGGAGAAGACACUUGAGUUGAGAUUUGAAGGAAGAGGUAGAUGUCAGCCAGAGAAGGAAGGGCUGGCCCACAUUUUAUUUAUUUAUUGAGACAGAGUCUCGCUCUAUUGACCAGGCUGGAGUGCAGUGGCGUGACCUCAGCUCACUGCAACCUCUACCUCCCGGGUUUAAGAAAUCCUCCCACCUCAGCCUCUCA